AACUUUCGGCAACGGAUAUCUUGGCUCUCGCAUCGAUGAAGAACGCAGCGAAAUGCGAUAAGUAAUGUGAAUUGCAGAAUUCAGUGAAUCAUAGAAUCUUUGAACGCCCCUUGCGCCCCUUGGUAUUCAGAGGAGCAUGCCUGUUUGAGUGUCAUUAAUAUAUAUCAAACUUCUGUUGUUUGAGUUGUUUGGAUGUGGGGGUUUGCUGGCCUCUUAAAAGGGGGUUCAGCUCUCCUGAACUGCAUUAGCAGAACAACCUAGUUCAUUGGUGUGAUAAACUAUCUACGCUAUUGAAUGUGGAAGGGCAGUUCAGCUUUCUAACGGUCUUUGGACAAUUUUGUCAUUAAUGUGACCUCAAAUCAGGUAGGACUACCCGCUGAACUUAAGCAUAUCAAUAAGCGGAGGCU
rnacentral:misc_RNA from 1 species